rnacentral:rRNA from 1 species
UGAAGCUGGAUUCGCUAGUAAUCGCGCAUCAGCCAUGGCGCGGUGAAUACGUUCCCGGGCCUUGUACACACCGCCCGUCAAGCCAUGGGAGCCGGGAGCGCUUGAAGUGCGUCGCCGCGAGGCGCGCCCUAGAGCGAGACCGGUGACUGGGGCUAAGUCGUAACAAGGUACC